rnacentral:rRNA from 1 species
CAGCCGCCGCGGUAAUACGGAGGGUGCAAGCGUUAAUCGGAAUUACUGGGCAUAAAGCGUGCGUAGGCGGUUCGUUAAGUCUGUUGUGAAAGCCCCAGGCUCAACCUGGGAAUGGCAAUGGAUACUGGCGAGCUAGAGUGUGUCAGAGGAUGGUGGAAUUCCCGGUGUAGCGGUGAAAUGCGUAGAGAUCGGGAGGAACAUCAGUGGCGAAGGCGGCCAUCUGGGACAACACUGACGCUGAGGCACGAAAGCGUGGGGAGCAAACAGGAUUAGAUACCCCCGUAGUCCCUGUCUCUUAUAC